GGUUGUGGCUCAGUGGUAAAGCACUUGCCUGGCAUGUGUGAGGCACUGGGUUCAAUCCCCAGCACCA
rnacentral:tRNA from 1 species